CGACUCCUACGGGGGGCAGCAGUGAGGAAUAUUGGUCAAUGGGCGGGAGCCUGAACCAGCCAAGUCGCGUGAGUGAAGACGGCCCUACGGGUUGUAAACCUCUUUUGUCGGGGAGCAAAGCGAGUCACGUGUGACUCAUUGAGAGUACCCGAAGAAAAAGCAUCGGCUAACUCCGUGCCAGCAGCCGCGGUAAUACGGAGGAUGCGAGCGUUAUCCGGAUUUAUUGGGUUUAAAGGGUGCGCAGGCGGAGGUGCAAGUCAGCGGUCAAAUUGCGGGGCUCAACCCCGUACUGCCGUUGAAACUGG
rnacentral:rRNA from 1 species